rnacentral:rRNA from 1 species
UACGUAGGCAGCGAGCGUUGUUCGGAAUUACUGGGCGUAAAGAGCUCGUAGGCGGCUUAGUAAGUCGGGUGUGAAACCUCCAGGCUCAACCUGGAGACGCCACCCGAUACUGCUGUGGCUAGAGUCCGGUAGGGGAGCGUGGAAUUCCUGGUGUGAGCGGUGAAAUGCGCAGAUAUCAGGAGGAACACCAGCGGCGAAGGCGGCGCUCUGGGCCGGUACUGACGCUGAGGAGCGAAAGCGUGGGGAGCAAA